CUGAUCAGACAGGCGGCAGAGGCCCGGAUGGGUGCUAAUGAGCUCCCAUCUUCGCUUCCAGGAAAUGGACUCAGGGCAAGAUAGGGCAGGAGGCAGGACGGAAGACCCUCCUUCUUUGGCCCCGCCUCCCUCCGGCUCCGCCCCCACCUGGCCUCUGCAGGACUUCUUUGAGCCGCUUCUGGCAUUGGGCCUGGGCACGGUGCAGCAGGAAGAUCUGCUCCUCUUUGGUCAUGACGUCAUCUGCAUCCACCUACCAAGUUGAACGUCAGACUGCAGGCAGGACUUACCAGCUCAGAGGCAGGUCCUACAACCAUCCCAACCUCCCUGAGGGGUUCCCGCACCCACACCCCGCCCCCAACCCUUUCCGAAGGCCCUGAGUCUAGAAUUUGGGAGCUCUGCCUUACAAAGCUCCCAUUUUACAGAUGGGAAUCUGCAGCUCCAAAGGGUAGGGCCUGUCCCACCAGAAGGAUAAAAGAGGGAGGGGAAUGUCCCCUGCCUGUCCGCUAGUGACCCUGUAGGCUGCAGCCACUGAUACUCUCUGUGCAGUCUGUUCCCUAAGGGUACAUGGGAAAGGGAUGGAAUGUCCCGGGAUGGAUCCUCACAGGAUCCUGUCUGUUGGGGACCUGGUAGGGAGAGGGGGUGGAUAAGGAGUGGUGAACUCUGGGGAAAUAAACCAGCCCUGGAUUCUUUCAAGCCCUAGUGCCCUGGGGGACCUCCGGAGUCACCAAUUUCCAUCCUGGCCCUCUCCCCAGUCACUGCUCUCUGCAGUGAAUGGUGAGUGCCUCAGCCGCUCCCCGCCUUGUGGUCCCAGAAGCUAGAGGACUGAGGAAUUGCUGGCCAGUGGUCUGGUUGGGCGGACACUCCCCUGCGGGCUGUGGGUGGGAGUCACCCACAUCCCACUGCUUAUCUGGAGGCUCCUUCCACCCAAGCCGACCCUGUGUUUUUUUCUUUUUUUAAGUGUACUUAUUUUGGGAGAGAGAGCGGGAGACAAAGAGCCAAUCCCAAGCACCUCUGCUCUAUCAGCGCAGAGCCCGACACGGGGCUUGAACUCACGCACCGUGAGAGCAUGAUCUGAGCUGAAAUCUCAAGAGUCAGAUGCUAAACCGACUGAGCCACCCAGGUGCCCGACUGACCCUGUAUUCUGACGGUGCCAACAAGAGAGUAUCAGUUCCCACUGUU